rnacentral:rRNA from 1 species
CUGGUUGAUCCUGCCAGUAGUCAUAUGCUUGUCUCAAAGACUAAGCCAUGCAUGUCUAAGUAUAAGUAUUAUACAGCGAAACUGCGAAUGGCUCAUUAAAACAGUUAUAGUUUAUUUGACAAUCGAAUUUACAUGGAUAACCGUGGUAAUUCUAGAGCUAAUACAUGCUGGUGUGCCCGACUUUUGCGGAAGGGCGGUAUUUAUUAGAUAACAAGCCAAUAUUCCUCUGGUCUAUUGUGGUGAUUCAUAAUAACUGAUCGAAUCGCAAGGCCUGUGGCCGCGAUAAGUCAUUCAAGUUUCUGCCCCAUCAGCUUUCGAUGGUAGUGUAUUGGACUACCAUGGCGUUCACGGGUAACGGAGGAUUAGGGUUCGAUUCCGGAGAGGGAGCCUGAGAAACGGCUACCACAUCUAAGGAAGGCAGCAGGUGCGUAAAUUACCCAAUCCUGACUCAGGGAGGUAGUGACAAGAAAUAACGGACCGAGGCCCUCGGGCUUCGGGAUUGCAAUGAGCCGAAUUUACACCCCUUAGCGAGGAUCCAUUGGAGGGCAAGUCUGG